rnacentral:rRNA from 1 species
UUUUAUUUGAGAGUUUGAUCCUGGCUCAGGAUGAACGCUGGCGGCGUGCCUAACACAUGCAAGUUGAGCGAUUUACUUCGGUAAAGAGCGGCGGACGGGUGAGUAACGCGUGGGUAACCUACCCUGUACACACGGAUAACAUACCGAAAGGUAUGCUAAUACGGGAUAAUAUAUUUGAGAGGCAUCUCUUAAAUAUCAAAGGUGAGCCAGUACAGGAUGGACCCGCGUCUGAUUAGCUAGUUGGUAAGGUAACGGCUUACCAAGGCGACGAUCAGUAGCCGACCUGAGAGGGUGAUCGGCCACAUUGGAACUGAGACACGGUCCAAACUCCUACGGGAGGCAGCAGUGGGGAAUAUUGCACAAUGGGCGAAAGCCUGAUGCAGCAACGCCGCGUGAGUGAUGAAGGCCUUCGGGUCGUAAAACUCUGUCCUCAAGGAAGAUAAUGACGGUACUUGA